GAUGAACGCUGGCGGCGUGCCUAAUACAUGCAAGUCGAGCGAACGGACGAGAAGCUUGCUUCUCUGAUGUUUGCGGCGGACGGGUGAGUAACACGUGGAUAACCUACCUAUAAGACUGGGAUAACUUCGGGAAACCGGAGCUAAUACCGGAUAAUAUUUUGAACCGCAUGGUUCAAAAGUGAAAGACGGUCUUGCUGUCACUUAUAGAUGGAUCCGCGCUGCAUUAGCUAGUUGGUAAGGUAACGGCUUACCAAGGCAACGAUGCAUAGCCGACCUGAGAGGGUGAUCGGCCACACUGGAACUGAGACACGGUCCAGACUCCUACGGGAGGCAGCAGUAGGGAAUCUUCCGCAAUGGGCGAAAGCCUGACGGAGCAACGCCGCGUGAGUGAUGAAGGUCUUCGGAUCGUAAAACUCUGUUAUUAGGGAAGAACAUAUGUGUAAGUAACUGUGCACAUCUUGACGGUACCUAAUCAGAAAGCCACGGCUAACUACGUG
rnacentral:rRNA from 1 species